GCAUCUACCGAUUGAAUGGAGAGGUAAAAUCUCCGGACUAUGACGCGUUGGGGUCAAACCUAAUGCAGUCGUGGGAAGUGGAUUAAACCUUUCCAUUUAGAGGAAGAUGAAGUCGUAACAAGGUUUCCGUAGGUGAACCUGCAGAGGAUCAAGAUCGGAAGGACCCACGGUUGGACUCCCGUCACGUUGCCCUAAUUUCUAUUCCGGUUUCUGCUUGAAAAAAAAAAACAAGACCCAACCCCUGCACUUUCUUUGCAACUGCACUGAUACGAUCUAU
rnacentral:misc_RNA from 1 species